GAUUGAACGCUGGCGGCAUGGCUAAAGCAUGCAAGUCGUACGUGCCCCGCAAGGGGAAAGUGGCGGAAGGGCGAGUAAUGCGCUUCUACGUGCCCCGAGGUGGAGGAUAGGGCGGGGAAACUCGCCGUAAUACUCCAUGUGCUCUACGGAGCAAAGCUUUUGCGCCUUGGGAGCGGGGAGCGUCCUAUCAGGUAGUUGGCGGGGUAAUGGCCCACCAAGCCGAAGACGGGUAGCGGGUGUGAGAGCACGACCCGCCGCAUCGGGACUGAGACACUGCCCGGACUCCUACGGGAGGCUGCAGCAACGAAUAUUCCGCAAUGCACGAAAGUGUGACGGAGCAAUGCCGCGUGCAGGAUGAAGCGGCUUCGCCGUGUAAACUGCUGUCAGGGGUCAGAAACACUGAUCGACCCCAAAGGAAGAGCCGGCUAACCCUGUGCCAGCAGCCGCGGUAAUACAGGGGGCUCAAGCGUUAAUCGGAAUCACUGGGCUUAAAGGGUGCGCAGGCGGACGCGAAAGUGUCCUGUGAAAUCCCCCGGCUCAACCGGGGAAUUGCGGGGCAAACUACGCGUCUCGAGGCGGGUAGAGGCUGUCGGAACGCUAGGUGGAGCGGUGAAAUGCGUAGAGAUCUAGCGGAACGCCAAAGGUGAAGACAGGCAGCUGGGCCCGUCCUGACGCUCAGGCACGAAAGCGUGGGGAUCAAACGGGAUUAGAUACCCCGGUAGUCCACGCCCUAAACGAUGCGCGCUAGAUUGGUGCGGCUCUGACGCCGUAUCGGUCGUAGAGAAAUCGAUAAGCGCGCCGCCUGGGAAGUACGGUCGCAAGGCUAAAACUCAAAGGAAUUGACGGGGGCUCACACAAGCGGUGGAGCAUGUUGCUUAAUUCGAUGCAACGCGAAGAACCUUAUCCAGGGCUUGACAUGCACGGAUUAGUUUCUGGAAACAGGAAUGACGCUCGCAAGAGUGGAACGUGCACAGGUGCUGCAUGGCUGUCGUCAGCUCGUGCUGUGAAGUGUCGGGUUAAGUCCCUUAACGAGCGCAACCCUUGUCGCUAGUUGCCAGCGGGUAAUGCCGGGAACUCUAGCGAGACUGCCGGUGUCAAACCGGAGGAAGGUGGGGAUGACGUCAAGUCCUCAUGGCCUUUAUGCCCUGGGCUGCAAACGUGCUACAAUGGCGUAUACAAAGCGAUGCAAGGCCGCGAGGCGGAGCAGAUCGCAAAAAGUACGCCCCAGUUCAGAUUGCAGUCUGCAACUCGACUGCAUGAAGUCGGAAUCGCUAGUAAUCGGAGAUCAGCUACGCUCCGGUGAAUAAGUUCCUGAGCC
rnacentral:rRNA from 1 species